UACAAAACUGGCAGAGUUGUAAUAGUCCUGAGUGGUAAAUAUGCAGGAAAAAAAAAGCCU
rnacentral:tRNA from 1 species